AUGUGGAGUGAGCUUCAGUUUGCUGUGUUCCAUUGUAAGGUGCCCAUCUACGGACCUUAUUUGAUCCUCUUGAUCUCGAAGACUUGGGAGAAGCUCUUUCCGGGUAAAGAAUUUCUUGCUCCCAACUGGAUUCACCAUGAGUCCAUUAAGCUGCGCCAGAAGAACAAGUGGGCUAACACCAUUACCCGGGCUGAGGCCGAGGCUGCACGCAUGGAUGUUGAUGAGGAUGAGUUUGAGGAGGAGGAGGCUGAGGAUAGUUCUGCGGGGUAUGCACCUCACUCUUCUGAGCCAUCUUGGGCUAAGAAGCUUAAGGCCAAGGUGAAGUCUCUGUUUUGCAUGCAGGCCAAGGGGCAGUACAAGGCCCACGUUGCUCAGAAGGAGAGUUGCCGGUGUGACAAGAGGGUCUUGAGGAAGCUUGGCGAGCAAGUCUCUAGCGGGACCGAGAAGAACAUCACUCCCGAGGCUGCCUGGAUGACGAAGCAAGGAUAUCAGUGGGCUGAGUCAGAUGAAGAGUCCAUUCCUACAUCAGAGACAAAUGAGGAGCUUGCUGGGUGA
rnacentral:rRNA from 1 species